UUUCAGGGUCGGCACCCCUCCCUUAAGCAGCGCCCUAGGCGGUCGCCUAGUUUGACUGUAGGGAGCGCCGGCCCUGUAUCCAAUAAUAAUGGAUACAUUUCACAGAGCGUGACCACCCUGGAGGACCAACAAUGCCGCAACAAUAUAAAGAUACGGGGCGUACCAGCCGACACAACGGCAGAGGAACUACCCCAUUACACCCGGAGGCUGCUGGAAUCCAUCUUGUCACCCGUAGUGGCCAAGAAAAUCACCUUAGCAGGCAUAUAUCGCCUCAUCAACACAGCUAACUCCUCUUCCACCAUGCCGAGGGAUGUUAUCAUACGCUGCACUUCCAUAUCUGACAAGGCUCACAUAAUGGCGGCUCUACGAGGCAAAACGCCGCUGCAGUUCAAAGGCACGCCUGAACUUUUUUCAAGACCUUUCCAAAACAUCCCUGCAGUGGCGCAGGUCCCUGGGGCCUGUCACAGCCGGUCCUGAGGGAUACCUUAUAGAUGGGGAACGAUGGGAUCCCUAGUGGCUACACAUAAUGGAGCUACACACACACUCCACUCGAUGGCCAACUCGCAGACGUUAAUAACGGCCCUGGGACUCACACACCCAGAUACAGAAGCAUCGGCCGGAACCUCCAGCAGCAGCUGGGACCCAGCCACCAUUGAACCCUUCGUGCCCAGAGGCCUGAACAUACCAGGGACCUAACUACCCAGCCCCCGAUCGGGACUUAUGCCGACACACCGGCCUUGAGAACUUGGACACAUGCCAACCAUGGCGACCAAAAAGUUGUUUUGCUCUUUUAUGUUUAGUUCCCAUUUGUCGUAAUGGUUAAGCAUGUACACUGAGAGCACACUACCAGACACAGUACAACACACACUGCAGACCAAGACUGACAGAUUGAGACCACACACACCUAUACCGACCCAGGUGAAACAACCCCCCCCCCGACACCCCCUAGAUAAGGGGUAUACUAUUCAGCAGAGAAAGGGGCCAUAAGACAGCUUACACAAUACCACAUCAUUGAAGACUAGCACUGUUAAAAGCCUAGCACCUGAUAAAACACUCACGACAUGGCACCCCAAUCUCACUAUGAACGCCUGACCGAACCUGCACUUGCACAACUGUACGGAACGACCCCACAUGCCCUGCUACACCACAGCCUGCAUAAUGGCACUCCAAGCCAGGUCCCUCGGAACACCAUUCACUAACACGAAUAUCCAACUAUAGCAAGCUACACCUCGAAUGACCUGGAGAGACAAUUGCUUGACAAUAACAUACAUAAAAUGGUGCGGACAAGCUACCUUACA